GACGAACGCUGGCGGCGUGCUUAACACAUGCAAGUCGAACGCUGAAGCUCAGCUUUUGUUGGGUGGAUGAUUGGCGCACGGGUGAGUAACACGUGAGUAACCUGCCCCCUUCUUUGGGAUAACGCCCGGAAACGGGUGCUAAUACUGGAUAUUCACUGGUCUUCGCAUGGGGGCUGGUGGAAAGGGUUUUUCUGGUGGGGGAUGGGCUCGCGGCCUAUCAGCUUGUUGGUGGGGUGAUGGCCUACCAAGGCUUUGGCGGGUAGCCGGACUGAGAGGGUGACCGGUAACAUUGGGACGGAGAUACGGCCCAGACGCCUACGGGAGGCAGAAGUGGGGAAUAUUGGACAAUGGGCGAAAGACUGAUGCAGCGACGCCGCGUGAGGGCUGGAGGCCUUCGGGUUGUGAACCUCUUUCGCUCAUGAUGAAGCCGCAACAAUGGUCGUCGUGAGGGUAGUGGGUAAAGAAGCGCCGGCUAACUACGUG
rnacentral:rRNA from 1 species